rnacentral:lncRNA from 1 species
ACUCUGGGAAGGCAACCUAGGAAGGGUGGGGCCCUGGGGCCUUUUGAGGAGCUAAGUGGCCAAGGAGAGGUGCGUUUAGUUAUCUCAGAAGUCCGUUGCCCUCGUGGUGUCCAUUCUGUAACUGUUCUCACAAGACAAGACAGCCUGAGUUGUUUACAGCCAGCAACUCUUCCUGUCUGAGAGCGGUGUCUCCCGUUGGGUUUCCCUAGUGCCUCACCUUGGUCCAGAUGGCCGAAGGGGACCGUUUCCUGUGGCCUCUUCGCACUGUUCUAGGUGUUAACGAUCCCCCCCGCCCCGCCCCUACUGACUUCCUCAUCCUAGCCUUUUACUUCUUUUCUGCCUGGCCUCUGAUUUUACAAUAUACUAUGGGGAGAAAUGUCUCUGAAGUUUUACUUCAGCCUGAAAUGUAUAAGACAAGCCCUCAAGAGUUUCCAAAAUCAUAAAUACGUUGCUUUGUGAGUCUCUUGUUGGAAGGACUGUCUUUAAAUUAAAGCAAUUAGAGUUACUUUAUAAGAUUUACCCAAAUAUAAGAGCUGAAGAGAAUAAUUCAAAUUGAUCAGAAGAAAAUACUCAAUUACUGACAAAUGUCAAUUACAUCAAUAGCCUAGGCUGCUCUUGAACUCCUGGGCUCAAACGAUCCUCCCCUGUCGGCCUCCCAAAGUGCUGGGAUUACAAGCUUGAACCACCAUGCCCAGCCUCAGAAAUUUUUUAAAUGACAGCUCAUACAGUUUUCUUUUAUAAAGGAGGAGAAAAUGUGUAAUUGUAAGCAGCUGAACUAAAAUAUCUCUGUGACAUUUUGCUGGUGACUCCAGCCCUGUGAGAUCUGAGUGGCUCAGGAAUCAAAUUCUCCCACAAACCUGAGGAAGCCUUUUAUUCUUAAUGCCAACAGGAUGCCCCAUGCCCAGAAUGUCAAAUCUGAACACCAAUGGAAUGCAUUUUAUAAACAAAUUGAAAAAGGACAAUCUUUAACAGAAUUGUUGUUCUCUAGGCAGAUUAGUUGUGCUUCAAAUACAAAAUGAAAUAUUAGAGAACAAAAUUAUUUUUAAACAGCUAAUACUAGUAGAAAAUAAAAGGCUGAAAAGUGC